GGCAACUUGGCCGAGCGGUUAUGGCGCCAGUUUCAGGUACUGACAAUAAUUAUUGUUAUUCUACUGGUUCGAAAGAGCGUGGGUUCGAAUCCCACAGUUGUCA
rnacentral:tRNA from 1 species